AGAGUUUGAUCCUGGCUCAGAACGAACGCUGGCGGCAGGCUUAACACAUGCAAGUUGAACGGGAUUUGUAUGGUGCUUGCACCAUGUAAUGAGAGUAGCGCACUGGUGAGUAACACGUGGGAACAUACCUUGAAGUGGGGGACAACAGUUGGAAACGACUGCUAAUACCGCAUAAUCCCUGAGGGGGAAAGAUUUAUCGCUUUAAGAUUGGCCCGCGGAAGAUUAGGUAGUUGGUGGGGUAAAGGCCUACCAAGCCGACGAUCUAUAGCUGGUCUGAGAGGACGAACAGCCACAUUGGAACUGAGACACGGUCCAGACUCCUACGGGAGGCAGCAGUGAGGAAUAUUGGGCAAUGGAGGAAACUCUGACCCAGCCAUGCCGCGUGAGUGAAGAAGGUUUUCGAAUUGUAAAGCUCUUUCGGAUGGGACGAUGAUGACGGUACCAUCUAAAGAAGCCCCGGCAAACUUCGUGCCAGCAGCCGCGGUAAUACGAAGGGGGCAAGCGUUGUUCGGAAUUACUGGGCGUAAAGGGUGUGUAGGCGGAUUUGUAAGAUAGUGGUGAAAUACCUGAGCUCAACUUAGGAAUUGCCAUUAUAACUAUAGAUCUGGAGUGACAGAGAGGAUAGUGGAAUACCCAGUGUAGCGGUGAAAUGCGUAGAUAUUGGGUAGAACACCAGUGGCGAAGGCGAGUAUCUGGACUGUAACUGACGCUGAGGCACGAAAGCAUGGGGAUCAAACAGGAUUAGAUACCCUGGUAGUCCAUGCUGUAAACGAUGAAUGCUAGUUGUCGGCAAAAGCCGGUGACGCAGUUAACGCGAUAAGCAUUCCGCCUGGGGAGUACGGUCGCAAGAUUAAAACUCAAAGGAAUUGACGGGGACCCGCACAAGCGGUGGAGCAUGUGGUUUAAUUCGAUGCAACGCGAAGAACCUUACCAACUCUUGACAUCCUCAUCGGAGCUUUCAGAGAUGAGAGCUUUCAGUUAGGCUGGAUGAGUGACAGAUGCUGCAUGGCUGUCGUCAGCUCGUGUCGUGAGAUGUUGGGUUAAGUCCCGCAACGAGCGCAACCCCUGCUACCAGUUGCCAUCAAGUAAAGUUGGGCACUCUGGUGGGACUGCCGGUGAUAAGCCGGAGGAAGGUGGGGAUGACGUCAAGUCAU
rnacentral:rRNA from 1 species